rnacentral:rRNA from 1 species
GACGAACGCUGGCGGCGUGCUUAACACAUGCAAGUCGAACGAUGAAGCGGGUGCUUUCACUCGUGGAUUAGUGGCGAACGGGCGAGUAACACGUGAGUAACCUGUCCUUUUCUUUGGGAUAACGGCUGGAAACGGCUGCUAAUACUGGAUAUUCAGUCUGCAUCGCUUGGUGUGGUUUGGAAAGGUUUUUUCUGGGGUUGGGUGGGCUCGCGGCCUAUCAGCUUGUUGGUGGGGUGAUGGCUUACCAAGGCUUUGACGGGUGGGCGGCCUGAGAGGGGGGGCGGGAGCAUUAGGACUGACAUACGGCCUAGACUACUACGCGAGGUAGCAGUGGGGAAUGUUGCAGAAUAGACGGCAGAAUGAGGCAGCGCCGGAGGGUGGAGCGUGGAGGGCGUCGUGUUGUGAUCUGCUUUGUAUAGCGAAAAAGGCAGAGUUGUGGCUGUGUUGAUGGUAGUGGGGAAAGAAGCGCCGGCUAACUACGUG